rnacentral:rRNA from 1 species
UACGUAGGGAGCGAGCGUUGUCCGGAAUUACUGGGUGUAAAGGGAGCGUAGGCGGGAGGCCAAGUUGAAUGUUAAAUCUACCGGCUCAACUGGUAGCUGCGUUCAAAACUGGUCUUCUUGAGUGAAGUAGAGGUUGGCGGAAUUCCUAGUGUAGCGGUGAAAUGCGUAGAUAUUAGGAGGAACACCAGUGGCGAAGGCGGCCAACUGGGCUUUUACUGACGCUGAGGCUCGAAAGCGUGGGGAGCAAA